rnacentral:rRNA from 1 species
CCUACGGGUGGCAGCAGUGAGGAAUAUUGGUCAAUGGACGAGAGGCUGAACCAGCCAAGUAGCGUGAAGGAUGACUGCCCUAUGGGUUGUAAACUUCUUUUAUAAAGGAAUAAAACGAGGCACGUGUGCCUUUUUGCGUGUACUUUAUGAAAAAGGAUCGGCUAACUCCGUGCCAGCAGCCGCGGUAAUACGGAGGAUCCGAGCGUUAUCCGGAUUUAUUGGGUUUAAAGGGAGCGUAGAUGGGUUGUUAAGUCAGUGGUGAAAGUUUGAGGCUCAACCCUAAAAUUGCAGUUGAUACUGGCAGUCUUGAGUACAGUUGAGGUAUGCGGAAUUCGUGGUGUAGCGGUGAAAUGCUUAGAUAUCACGAAGAACCCCGAUUGCGAAGGCAGCUUACUAACCUGUGACUGACAUUGAUGCUCGAAAGUGUGGGUAUCAAACAGGAUUAGAUACCCUAGUAGUC